rfam:Ictidomys tridecemlineatus contig001067, whole genome shotgun sequence.
GGGGCUGUAGCUCAGUGGUAGAGCACUAGUCUAGCACAUCUGAGGCACUGAGUUCGAUCCUCAGCACCA